AAAGCCCAAAUUAGAUUAUAGAUUCCAGAAAACUCCCAAAGAGAGAAACACUCCUCUUCCACGACUCCGCUCCUCCUCAAGCAUGAUUUUGCCAACGCUGCUCCACCUUGUAACUCUACGAUUUUGGACGAAUUUAUGUUCUGUCUUUGUUUUUGUUUUUUUUAAUUUUUUUCACUCUAAUAUAGUCAGAUUUAUAGUGGAAGGACUUGAAUCUGCUGUUCGAAAUUCAAAAUUGGACGAGGGAAAACAUUGGGCCAUGGAACAAUCUUCAAAUUAAUUUCAAGCCUUAUAAAUCGAAGGUAAACUUUGAUUCUUAGCAUUAGGGUAGCAGAUAGUAACUGUUGUGUUGAGUAACAAUUUCAUGUUAGGAAAAUGCAUAAAGCUCGUUCCACAUUGUCAAAAUAAUGCUUUCCCAUCUAGGUUGCGUAGCUUUGCAUUCAAUCCAAAUUUUGUAACUUUUGCAUUGUAAUUCUGUUAUGCGUUGUGCCUUGAUUCUGGAUAAUUUAUGGAUCUUUACUGUAAAUUUCGAAGUAUUUUUUUUUUCCAUUUUAAUAUGCAUAAAAAAAGGCACUUAGUGCGCAUUUGGAAAACUUAAUUAGGCUAUAGAUUAAAUUGUAUGGAGGAUAAAAUCUGUCAAAUCCUGCUUUUGAUGUAAAUUGUAUAUGAAUUAUUAUCAGUCACUGGUACAGUUUCAGCCUAAAAAACAUAAAAUAAGAGGCGGGGUUCAAAAAAUUUCUAUUUGUGGCUUUUUUGAGUGAUUUUUGUAAAACAUGAUGAUCGUGUUUAUGGAUUCAACUCCUUGGCUAGUCACAUAUACAAGAUGCUAUGAAAAUUUAGCCUCCAAUUGAUCUGCAAAAUAAUCCAGUCACAUUCUUGUUACGCAAAUAAUAGCUAGGGAAAUGGAUGAAGAAGAACUACCAGACAGAAGCAGAAGAACAAACCAAAGAAAGGGGAAGAAGAAGGAACCAAGUACCAACGGACUUAAUGGACUUUUGAAAGGAAACGGUGUUGUUUGGUAUUAAAUGAAACUUUGUCGUUUUAUUCCAAUAAUUGUUGUAUCAUAAAUUCCUUAUUUCAGCUGGAGUAAAUUCUAGUGUAGGUUUAUGCGAAAUUGUGUUUGCGAGUUGCAGUUCAGCUCGUGGCAGAUGGUAUCAGAGUAGGCAUAUUAUACUUAGCAAACAAUAAUCAUGGAUACAAGGUCGAAGGCGGUUGAUGAGCACUAGAAGAAAUUGGAUCUGAAGAUUUCUCAUUUGGGUAAUUCCUUUAAAGCUGUUAACAACAGGCUGAAGAACAAGUUGGCUUCCACUGAUCAAUCUCUCCAGAUAAGUGGGCAUAGACAGGAAAAACUUGAAGCUACACUGUUAGAUAUGAAUCAUAAAAAUGAAAAUUUAGUGACCAUGUUGACCCAGUUGUCUUUAGAUAUCAAAAUGGGGCAGAAAAACAAAGGAGUGGAAGAAACUCUGGUCAAGGUGAAUUCUGAGGGUGUAAUAUCUAUCUUAGGAGCUAGUAACACUGAAAGUAGUAUUUAUACUAUAGGGGACUUUAAGGGAAAUAAUAGGCUGCCUAAGUUUGAUUUUCCACACUUUGGGGGAGAACCUAAGGAAUGGCUUAGAAAAGCAAGGGAGUAUUUCCAACUUCGUCAGAUCCCACAUGAAUUGAGAUUGGGUAUUGCUGAAAUGUAUUUGAAAGGUAAAGCAGAUUUGUUUUGCCAGAAUUUCACUGUAAUUGUUGAUUUUAUCAACAACUUUUCUCCAUCUUCUCUUAUUCAUUUAACAUCAUUUAUCCUAUCUCCAUCAUAUUUUCUUUUAAUUUGGUUACAAUUUCAGCUCAUUCUGCCGUGAGAAUUUCACAGUUGAUCUGUUGGAAACUUGAGGUUGAAAAUUGAAAUUCAGUUCAUGACAAAAUGGUAUCAAAGCCAGAUUUCCUUGCGAGACAACCUAAUGUAGAUUGGGGAAUCUUCAAUUAAGAAUUGUGUAAGAGGUUUGAUGAGAAUACUGAAAUUAUUGAGGAAGUAGGAGGAAAGGAAAUCUGAAUCACAUAAAGAGGAAGUUUUUGAGAUUUCUAUCAAUGCUUUGGAAGGAAUUCCAGGGCAUAAAACUAUCAAAAUUCCUGGAAUUUUAAAGGGGAGGAGGAUAUCUAUUCUAAUAGAUAGUGGAAGCACACAUAGCUUCCUAGAUGAGAGACUGGCUAAGGAGCUGAACUACACUACUGAGGAAACCAUAACCAUGACAAUGAGAGUGGCUAAUGGUGAAAAGCCGGAGGGUAAAGCUUUGAAUCAACCACUGGUUUGUAAGGUGCAUAACUGGGAGUUCCGGUAUAAUUUGAGAUCUCUGAAGUUAGGAGGUAGUGCUAUGGUAUUGAGGGUGAACUGGAUGAGUCAGCCUCAUAAAAUUUGACUUUAUCCUAGGAUAUGAGAAGUUCAAACACCAGCAGAAAGAGGUUAUCUUGAGGAGUGAAGGAUCAGAACCAGGGGUUAAAAUGAUGGAAGUUGAGGAAAUGGAGAAUUUGUUUAGAAGGUACCAUUAUGGACUGGCUGGCCAUUUGUACAAUAUUGUGGAGAAAGGGAAAGAAGAAAUUCCAUGCCAAAUCACUGAGGCUAUUAGCCAAUAUACAGAGGUAUUUGAAGAACCAACAGGGUUGCCAUCUCCUAGAUCUCAUGACCAUCAUAUUCUGUUAAAAGAGAUAGCAUAACCAUUCAAAAUUAGGACUUAUAAAUGCCUUUCUAUUCAGAAAAUAGAAAUAGGAAGGCUAGUGGUGGAGAUCGAAAAUACAAAUUAAAUCAACAGUUAAAGGAGAACCUUUCACAGGCAAGUGCAAGGACGAAGCUUUAUGCUGAUAGAAAGAGACCAGAAAGGCCAUUUGUUGAAGGUAAAUGGGUAUUCCUUAAAACUCCUUCCAUACAGGCACCAAUCAGUAGAGCACAGGCAGAACUACGAGCUGGGCGCAAGUUAUUUUGGUCCUCACCAGAUUAUCAAGGAAAUAGGGACAGUAGCAUAUCAGUUGGCACUACGUGAAGGUUCAAAAUUCCAUCCAAUUUUCUAUGUGUCGUUGUUGAAAAGGAAGUUAGGUGAUAAACAUAUGCCGGUACUAUAUUUGCUUAUUAAUAGUUAUUCCCAACAGGUAGAACAUUAACCACACUCCAUCUUACAGUCAAGGAUGGUAGAGAGUCGGAUCCGCACAGCAAGGCGAUGAUUGAUUCAUUGGUCAGAUCUUCCUCCUGACAGUGCAACUUGGGAGAAUGUGGAACGGGUUGAAGUUAAAUUUCCCAAUUGUAGAUCUUAGGGGCAAGAUCAAAGUGAGGGGGAGGGUUGUUACGUGAAGAGUAGCUAGGGAAAUAGAGGAAGAGGAACUACCAGACAGAAGCAGAAGAAGAAGCCAGAGAAAGGGGAAAAAGAAGGAACCAAUGGACUUUUAAAUGGAAACGGUGUCGUUUGGUCCUAAAUGGAACUGUGUUAUUUUAUUCCAAUAAUCUUGUUAUUUGUUAGAAAUCGUCUUUUACUUUUGGGGUUUGGAAAGCACAACUUUAUAUAUAUAUAGCCAUGUGCGAAGAGGGAAAGACUGAUUUUUCUGCCAAAUUGGUUGUUAAUUGAAGUGAUUCAAUUCAGUCCUCUCCUUCUCAUUCUUAUUUUACAUCAUUUAAUCCGUCCCCCAUCAUCUUUUACUUUGAAUUUAGUAUCAUAAAUUCCUUAAUUCAGCUGGAGUAAAUUCCAGUGUUGGUUUGUCUGAAUCUUUGUUUGCGAGUUGUAGUUCAGCUCGUGACAAUUCUAUCAUUCAAAGGCUUGAUUAACGGUAUUUAACAACCUCCAUUAGCAAAGGCAGCUAACAUGUGCUACAGCUUCCAGUCACAACCAUGCGUCCUUCGCAUGCUAAAGCCUUCAUUAGCUGCUGUUGCCACAACUGUUGGCUACUAUAGCCUCUGGUCAUCAUCGUUGAGGUUGUCACAGCAUGUUUAAGGUCAUCAAAUGCUCCAAUUGAGGCAAUCACUGGAUGAUCCAUCUAGUCCUGUGAAUGGGCUGAAGUGAUUCCAAUUUGAUCGCCUUUAUUGAGCACAAUUUUGUUAAUGGAGGGACAAUUUCCAAUUAGGCUACAAGUUAGUCUUUUCUUUAUUUGAACGACGAAAGUGCACACUUUGGCAACAACUCGGAUGCAGUAAGAUGGAUAAUAGACAGCAAGGAAACAUUGUAGUCACCAUUAAGAGCUAAUUUUACAUUUUGUUUGUGAAUUACAAAUCUGGUGGCUACGUGGCUACCAUGGUCUGAAUAUUAAUGAGGUUGAUCAAGUUCUCUUGAACUUAAUCAAAUUACUUGAUAAUCAUGAAGUCCAUAGGUAAUUUCUCUAACACACAGUGAUUUAAAGAUCUUCAAAAGGGUUCCUUAUGAGUUCUUUUGAUUUAUUUUGCCAGGAUCUGUUGUGAUGUAUGCUAGAAGUGGUUCCAUUGCAAGUUUGUGAAGAUUACACCAGCUAGAGCCGAGCAUAUUAAGCAAUACAAGUGUCCUUUAUGCAGUAACAAGAGAGCCAGUGCUUGAUGUGAAACAUUAUUAUCUGUACUCUUGAUAACCAUCCAAGUCUUUGUUUUGUUCAUUUCUUGUUUGAGUAUAAUGUGGAGAAUUAACCUAUGAAUAGAACUCUUAUUGGGCAGUCUUGCAAUUGGUAUAGGUUGUCUUGUUAUGUUCCCUGUUUUAUUGACUCUGUUCAUGGACCAUUACAUUCUCUUGUAGAGUUUUCAGUUUUUCUUUUGAUGAUAUGAUAAGAAGCACAUUUAAAUCACCCAUAA
rnacentral:lncRNA from 1 species